AUAAUCGGCCAUCUCAACCAGAUAGCUGGCGCAGUGAUGACCGUAGACCUGCAUUUGGAAUUUCAAGGUCAUCGUGGUCCUCAUCCCGAGUUCCUACUCGUGCUAGCACAGACCGCUGAUUGUGGUGGCAGAUGUGGCAAUUGGGAAGUAAAAUUUUGGAAGAGAAUAAUCACUUGUUUUUGCUACUACUGAGAAAUUAAGGGAAGAAACAGC
rnacentral:misc_RNA from 1 species